AAAAGCUUAGUUGAGUUGAGUUGGCUUGGCUGUUGACCAAUUCAUUUAGGAGAAUGCCAUUCCCCUAGAAUGCAGACUUCAAAAAUGAAUUGAAAGUCAACUUUUGGAUCAUGUAAUUGGACACUUAGCCAUGUGUCACUUGGGUGCUGUGAAGCUGUCCUUAGACAUCAACGAAGAUAAUAUUGCUACCUUUAAUGAGGAUCAUUAAAGUUCCCUGAUGCCUGGCUAAGUCAGAGGUAAUUUAGGCAGGGUCUCUUGAGAUGAACUGUUGAUAGUCUAGGCAUAUUCUGUUGGGAUACUAACUUCCAAAAGUAUGUGAUGAGCCCAAGAUACUUCUCUGAAGAGCAAUAUUGUGAAGAAUAAUUUAAAGAUCUAACUGCAAAUUCCUUGGGAUUUUCAGCUCUAAUUAUUCAAUUAGGUGUUUGUUUGCCUCAUGAUGGUUGAUGAAAUGAUAUUUUUCUACCUUGCAUGUAUGGGUCAUCAUAUGUGGAUUAAUUAAAGUUUGAUGAAUGGAAAUGCUUUCUGUGUGUUCCUCAUCUCACUACCUGGCAUUUUAUUUGUUGAAAAAAAAAAAAGGAAUUAAGUUCAAACGGGGAG
rnacentral:misc_RNA from 1 species